rnacentral:rRNA from 1 species
AUUGAACGCUGGCGGCAGGCCUAACACAUGCAAGUCGAGCGAGAGGCGGACGGGUGAGUAAUGAAUGGGGAUGGGAGUGAUGGAGGGGGAUAAGUAAUGGGAACGGUGGCUAAUAACGCAUACAAUAGGCUGAACCGAAAUGGGAUUAGGUAGGAGGUUGGGUAAAGGCUCACCUAGGCGCCGAUCUCUAGCUGGUCUGAGAGGAUGAUCAGCCACACUGGGACUGAGACACGGCCCCGACUCCUACGGGAGGCAGCAGUGGGGAAUAUUGCACAAUGGGCGCAAGCCUGAUGCAGCCAUGCCGCGUGUAUGAAGAAGUCCUUAGGGUUGUAAAGUACUUUCAGCUGGGAGGCGUUACCCGCAGAAGAAGCACCGGCUAACUCCGUGCCAGCAGCCGCGGUAAUUC